rnacentral:rRNA from 1 species
GACGAACCGUGCGAACGUUGUUCGGAAUUACUGGGCGUAAAGGGCGCGUAGGCGGCCCGGCAAGUCAGGAGUGAAAGGCCUGGGCUCAACCGAGGAACUGCUUUUGAGACUGCCGAGCUAGAGUGCAGAAGGGGCAACUGGAAUUCCCAGUGUAGCGGUGAAAUGCGUAGAUAUUGGGAAGAACACCUGAGGCGAAGGCGGGUUGCUGGGCUGACACUGACGCUGAGGCGCGAAAGCCAGGGGAGCAAACGGG